GCGUCAGUAGUGCAGCUGGUUAGAGCACGCGCUCCAUGAUAGAGUGAGAUGAGGGCUCGAGUCCCGCCUGAUGCG